UACGUAGGUGACAAGCGUUGUCCGGAUUUACUGGGCGUAAAGAGCGCGCAGGCGGUCGAUCAAGUCGAGUGUGAAAGCCCCCGGCUCAACUGGGGAGGGUCAUUCGAUACUGAUCGACUCGAAGGCAGGAGAGGGUAGUGGAAUUCCCGGUGUAGUGGUGAAAUGCGUAGAUAUCGGGAGGAACACCAGUGGCGAAGGCGACUACCUGGCCUGUUCUUGACGCUGAGGCGCGGAAAAGCUAGGGGAGCAAAC
rnacentral:rRNA from 1 species